GAUCAUGGCUCAGGAUGAACGCUAGCUACAGGCUUAACACAUGCAAGUCGAGGGGAAACGACAUCGAAAGCUUGCUUUUGAUGGGCGUCGACCGGCGCACGGGUGAGUAACGCGUAUCCAACCUGCCCACCACUUGGGGAUAACCUUGCGAAAGUAAGACUAAUGCCCAAUGAUAUCCCACGAAGGCAUCCGAAUGGGAUUAAAGAUUUAUCGGUGAUGGAUGGGGAUGCGU
rnacentral:rRNA from 1 species